AGAUGUGAAGACCUGGCUGCGACAUCCCACUGAUCACCAAGGUUGAUUUGACUUGAUGUGGCUGGCUAGGUGGGCAUCCCUUUCCUCCCUACCACUUCCCAUGCAUCCCUCCUGAGGCUGCGUGUUUGGUCAAAGAGGAUUCCAUUCCCUAAUAGAGGAAGACCAUUAUUCCUGUCAAGAGUAGCUGUGCUCCCCUGCAAGAACCUGCAAAUGGCUCAAAAAAAUAAAAACCAGUAAAUGUCUCUAAUGUAAAAGACUCCAGGUUAAGUCGUUUAUUUCUCUUGUCUUUGUCU
rnacentral:snRNA from 1 species